rnacentral:rRNA from 1 species
GACGAACCGAGCGAACGUUGUUCGGAAUCACUGGCUUAAAGGGCGCGUAGGCGGGCUGCCGCGUCCGGGGUGAAAUCCCACGGCUCAACCGUGGAACGGCCCCGGGUACGGGCGGCCCUCGAGGAAGGUAGGGGCGUGCGGAACUGUGGGUGGAGCGGUGAAAUGCGUUGAUAUCCACAGGAACUCCGGUGGCGAAGGCGGCACGCUGGACCUUUUCUGACGCUGAGGCGCGAAAGCCCAGGGGAGCGGAACGGGAUUAAGAAACCCGUUGUAACGUCCA